rnacentral:rRNA from 1 species
AUUGAACGCUGGCGGCAUGCCUUACACAUGCAAGUCGAACGGCAGCAUGACGUGUAGCAAUACACGUUGAUGGCGAGUGGCGAACGGGUGAGUAAUAUAUCGGAACGUGCCCUGUAGCGGGGGAUAACCUAUCGAAAGAUGGACUAAUACCCGCAUACGCUCUACGGAGGAAAGCGGGGGUCGCAAGACCUCGCACUAUAGGAGCGGCCGAUAUCGGAUUAGCUAGUUGGCGGGGUAAAAGCCCACCAAGGCGACGAUCCGUAGCUGGUCUGAGAGGAUGAUCAGCCACACUGGAACUGAGACACGGUCCAGACUCCUACGGGAGGCAGCAGUGGGGAAUUUUGGACAAUGGGCGCAAGCCUGAUCCAGCCAUGCCGCGUGAGUGAAGAAGGCCUUCGGGUUGUAAAGCUCUUUCGGCAGGAACGAAAUGGUACGUGCUAAUACCACGGACUGAUGACGGUACCUGAAGAAGAAGCACCGGCUAACUACGUGCCAGCAGCCGCGGUAAUACGUAGGGUGCAGGCGUUAAUCGGAAUUACUGGGCGUAAAGCGUGCGCAGGCGGUUUCUUAAGUCAGAUGUGAAAGCCCCGGGCUUAACCUGGGAACUGCGUUUGAAACUGGGAGACUUGAGUGUGGCAGAGGGGGGUGGAAUUCCACGUGUAGCAGUGAAAUGCGUAGAUAUGUGGAGGAACACCGAUGGCGAAGG